rnacentral:rRNA from 1 species
GUAGGGGGCAAGCGUUAUCCGGAAUUACUGGGUGUAAAGGGAGAGUAGGCGGCACGGUAAGCGAUAUGUGAAAGCCUUAAGCUUAACUUAAGGAUUGCAUAACGAACUAUCUAGCUAGAGUACAGGAGAGGAAAGCGGAAUUCCUAGUGUAGCGGUGAAAUGCGUAGAUAUUAGGAAGAACACCAGUGGCAAAGGCGGCUUUCUGGACUGAAACUGACGCUGAGGCUCGAAAGCGUGGGGAGAGAA